GCGUGCCUAACACAUGCAAGUCGCACGGACCCGCAAGGGUCAGUGGCGAACGGGUGCGUAACACGUGAGGAACAUACCUAUCGGCGGGGGAUAGCCGGCCCAACGGCCGGGUAAUACCGCGUACGCUCUCCGGGGGGCAUCUCCUGGGGAGGAAAGCAGCAAUGCACCGAUAGAGUGCCUCGCGGCCUAUCAGCUAGUUGGUGAGGUAAUGGCUCACCAAGGCGACGACGGGUAGCUGGUCUGAGAGGAUGAUCAGCCACAUUGGGACUGAGACACGGCCCAGACUCCUACGGGAGGCAGCAGUGGGGAAUCUUGCGCAAUGGGCGAAAGCCUGACGCAGCGACGCCGCGUGUGGGAUGAAGGCCUUCGGGUCGUAAACCACUGUCGCGAGGGACGAAUAAAUUGACGGUACCUCGAAAGGAAGCACCGGCUAACUCUGUGCCAGCAGCCGCGGUAAUACAGAAGGUGCGAGCGUUGUCCGGAAUCACUGGGCGUAAAGGGCGCGUA
rnacentral:rRNA from 1 species